GAAUGAAGAACGCAGCGAAAUGCGAUAAGUAGUGUGAAUUGCAGAAUUCAGUGAAUCAUCGAAUCUUUGAACGCACAUUGCGCCCCUUGGUAUUCCAUGGGGCAUGCCUGUUCGAGCGUCAUUUGUACCUUCAAGCUCUGCUUGGUGUUGGGUGUUUGUCUCGCCUCUGCGCGUAGACUCGCCUCAAAACAAUUGGCAGCCGGCGUAUUGAUUUCGGAGCGCAGUACAUCUCGCGCUUUGCACUCAUAACGACGACGUCCAAAAGUACAUUUUUACACUCUUGACCUCGGAUCAGGUAGGGAUACCCGCUGAACUUAAGCAUAUCAAUAAGCGGAGGA
rnacentral:misc_RNA from 1 species